AUUGAACGCUGGCGGCAGGCCUAACACAUGCAAGUCGAACGAGUGGCGGACGGGUGAGUAAUGUCUGGGAAACUGCCUGAUGGAGGGGGAUAACUACUGGAAACGGUAGCUAAUACCGCAUACCAUCGGAUGUACCCAUAUGGGAUUAGCUGGUAGGUGGGGUAACGGCUCACCUAGGCGACGAUCCCUAGCUGGUCUGAGAGGAUGAUCAGCCACACUGGGACUGAGACACGGUCCAGACUCCUACGGGAGGCAGCAGUGGGGAAUAUUGCACAAUGGGCGCAAGCCUGAUGCAGCCAUGCCGCGUGUAUGAAGAAGGCCUUCGGGUUGUAAAGUACUUUCAGCGGGGAGGCGUUACCGACAGAAGAAGCACCGGCUAACUCCGUGCCAGCAGCCGCGGUAAUUC
rnacentral:rRNA from 1 species